rnacentral:snoRNA from 1 species
AGGCCAUGAUGGGGACACUUGCGUAAUAGCUCCUUGAACCUUUCCCAAGUUUCAUAUAAGGAUUCCCCGUCCUCUUGUGAGUAUGUAUUAAUUUCGGCCAUUAAUUU